rnacentral:rRNA from 1 species
UACGUAGGGGGCAAGCGUUGUCCGGAAUCAUUGGGCGUAAAGCGCGUGUAGGCGGUCCGGUAAGUCCGCUGUGAAAGCCGGGGGCUCAACCCUCGAAUGCCGGUGGAUACUGUCGGGCUAGAGUGCGGAAGAGGCGAGUGGAAUUCCUGGUGUAGCGGUGAAAUGCGCAGAUAUCAGGAGGAACACCAAUUGCGAAGGCAGCUCGCUGGGACGUUACUGACGCUGAGACGCGAAAGCGUGGGGAGCAAACAGG